GGCCGUAUCAUGCUGAAAUAUCGGUUCCCGUACGAUCAAAGAAUUUAAGCAAUGUCAAACCUGGUCAGUACCAAGAUGGGUGACCGCUUGGGAAUGCCACGUGCUGUAA